GGCAGCACUCACAGACCUAUAGACACGGACCAAUACAGAGGAGAUUAGCGUGGCCCCUGCGCGAGGGUGACACUCGGAUUCUUGUGAAGUGUCUCAUCCUUUG